rnacentral:tRNA from 1 species
UAGGAAAUGGUGUAGUGGGAGCACUAAGAGUUUUGAUCUCUUCAGUGGGGGUUCAAGUCCUCUUUUUCUAA